rnacentral:rRNA from 1 species
UGGGGAAUAUUGGACAAUGGGCGCAAGCCUGAUCCAGCAAUGCCGCGUGUGUGAAGAAGGCCUUCGGGUUGUAAAGCACUUUUAUCAGGAGCGAAACGCUGUCGGCUAAUACCCGGCGGAACUGACGGUACCUGAGGAAUAAGCACCGGCUAACUUCGUGCCAGCAGCCGCGGUAAUACGAAGGGUGCAAGCGUUAAUCGGAAUUACUGGGCGUAAAGCGUGCGUAGGCGGUUUCUUAAGUCUGCUGUGAAAUCCCCGGGCUCAACCUGGGAAUGGCAGUGGAUACUGGGAGGCUAGAGUGUGUCAGAGGGUGGUGGAAUUCCCGGUGUAGCGGUGAAAUGCGUAGAGAUCGGGAGGAACAUCAGUGGCGAAGGCGGCCACCUGGGACAACACUGACGCUGAGGCACGAAAGCGUGGGGAGCAAACAGGAUUAGAUACCCUGGUAGUCCACGCCCUAAAGCGAUGCGAACUGGAUGUUGGUCUCAACUCGGAGAUCAGUGUCGAAGCUAACGCGUUAAGUUCGCCGCCUGGGGAGUACGG